rnacentral:rRNA from 1 species
UGCCUACAGAAAACCUAUUCUAGGUACCACCUGCCCAGUGAUUAAAUCUUCAACGGCCGCGGGAACCCGUGCAAAGGUAGCAUAAUCAUUUGCCCUCUAAUUAAGGGCUUGUAUGAACGGAUACACGAGAAAUUCCCUGUCUCUUGAACACAAAUAUAAACUAUCCCUUAUGUGAAAAGACAUAAAUAACAAUAGAAGACAAGAAGACCCUACUGCACUUAAUCACAAUGACCGUGCCCACCAUCUACCUGAUUUCGUUGGGGCGACACCGGAUCCUCCCACCCAUCCGCCUACUAAAAAGGAUAACAUUCCCCUAUACUUGACCCUAAUAAGAUCUAUGAAUAAGCCACCAUAGGGAUAACAGGCCAAUCUCCUCUUAGAGCCCCUAUCGACGAGGAGGGUUGGCACCUCGAUGUUGGCUUAGGGUAUCAUAUAGGCGCAGCCGCCUAUAAAUGAAGGUUUGUUCAACCUCCAAUUGACCCU